UAAGGAAUAUUGCUCAAUGGGAGAAAUCCUGAAGCAGCAACGCCGCGUGGAGGAUGAAGGGUCUAUGACUUGUAAACUCCUGUAAAGAAGGAAAAAAUUCCCAUUUGAUGGGAGAUGAUGGUACUUCUGGAGUAAGCCCCGGCUAACUACGUGCCAGCAGCCGCGGUAAUACGUAGGGGGCAAGCGUUGUCCGGAUUUACUGGGUGUAAAGGGUGCUCAGGCGGAUUUGUAAGUCAGAGGUGAAAUCUUACAGCUUAACUGUGAAACUGCCUUUGAUACUGCAAGCCUAGAGUAUGGAAGAGAGUGAUGGAAUAUCUGGUGUAGCAGUGAAAUGCGUAGAUGUCAGAUAGAACACCAAUGGCGAAGGCAGUCACUUGGUCCAUUACUGACGCUAAAGCACGAAAGCGUGGGUAGCAAACA
rnacentral:rRNA from 1 species